UUUAAUUUGGACUGGGUGGGAAGUUUUCCAUUGUAUUUUUGUUUCCCUUCAAAUGAUUUUCUACCUAAUCCUCUUUCGAAACAAGAAGCCUCCAACCUAAUUAGUCUUUACCCCAUCUAUGGUUUGCUUCAUCUCCACCUUACACUCUAACCAAGACCGGGUCUGCUUUGUCGCCCGCAUCGACUUUGGCGUUUGACUACAAUAAGCAUUCGAAGAGCUAUGAGUCAGCGAGACUAGGACGACGACGAUUUGGAGUCGAAGGAGGAGGAUGAAGUGUACGCUGAACAAGAGGAAACCCUAGAUGACGAGCUUAAGGAGGAGGAGGAGGAGGAUGUGGGCAGAGGCCGCUCAAGAAAUAAGCGGAUGAGAUCAGAUGAAGAGAUGAUGACUAUGGCAGCAAACAAAGAAAGAGUUGCAACAAGACGCCCUCUGAUGCACAGUCUCUUGAUCUCGAGGCCAAAUUUGAUAGUGAUGGUGAAGAGGAAGAGGAGGAUGACGUUGAUGAUGUGAAUGGGCCUCUCGUACACCUACAUUGCGUCAAAUACAUAUGGACAGGUAAUGUAGAUGUAGACAAAAAGGCUGAAGGAUUUUGAGUGAAUACUGAUGACAAAGACACAUUCAAGAGAAAGAUUCUCAAGGAAAUGGAUUAUAUGCUGGCAUUUGGGUCCUCAAAGGCUUCUUUUAAGUUAUUAUGGAAGUUUAAGCUCCUUUAAAUAUUUAUCCUGUCCCGGUUUGCAGGUAUGCAAUUUUUUUGUCAGUCUCCAUAAUUUUUCUAGGUGCACCUUUUGAAUAAUGGAAAUUUAGGAUUGAUGGGUAGAGAAAGACUUUUUUUGAUAAUUAAAUGGUAGUCUUAUAGCUUUUCACAUUGUCUUUAUAUCUAUAUAUAUGUAUAUAUUGUAUUAGUUUGAAUUUCAAUUUCUUAUGUCUUCUUUUUUAUUUGUGAUUAGUUCUCUUUUCUUAACGUCAAUAGUAAUUAGCAUUUUUUUCAUGUUUGUGUUUAGAGGGUUUUUUAUAAGAUAGUUGGAGUUCUCAAUUUAAGGUUUUAGUUUUCAUAAUGUAUAUUCAUUUAGUUUAGACAUUGUAACAUAGUUGGAGUUUUUUUAGUUAUCUUAUUAUUUUUAGCCAAUUGAUGUAAUAGGUUGGUUUCAUUUAAUUUAAG